GCCAUCAUAGUUCAUUUGAACAACACUGGUCUGGUAAUUUAGGUGUUGUGAGUUCGAUCCUCACUGGUGGUU